GGAAAAGAAACUAACAAGGAUUCCCCUAGUAACUGCGAGUGAAGCGGGAAAAGCUCAAAUUUAAAAUCUGGUGGUUUCUUAUGACCGCCCGAGUUGUAGUCUGGAGAAGUACUUUCCGCGCUGGACCGUGUACAAGUCUCUUGGAAUAGAGCGUCAUAGAGGGUGAGAAUCCCGUCUUUGACACGGACUGCCAGUGCUUUUGUGAUGUGCUCUCAAAGAGUCGAGUUGUUUGGGAAUGCAGCUCAAAAUGGGUGGUAAAUUCCAUCUAAAGCUAAAUAUUGGCGAGAGACCGAUAGCGAACAAGUACCGUGAGGGAAAGAUGAAAAGCACUUUGGAAAGAGAGUUAAACAGUACGUGAAAUUGCUGAAAGGGAAACACUUGAAGUCAGUCGCGUUGAUCAGGACUCAACCUUGCGUUUUUUGCUUGGUGCAUUUCCCGGUUAACGGGCCAGCAUCGAUUUUGGUCAUCGGAAAAAGGCUGAGGGAAUGUGGCACCUUUAGGUGUGUUUAUAGCCCUUAGUUGCAUACGGUGGUUGGGAUCGAGGACUACAGCAUGCCUCUAUGGCCGGGGUUUUUUUGACCCACGUUUCGUGCUUAGGAUGCUGGCAUAAUGGCUUUAAGUGACCCGUCUUGAAACACGGACCAAGGAGUCUAACAUGCCUGCGAGUGUUUGGGUGGAAAAACCCGAGCGCGUAAUGAAAGUGAAAGUUGGGGGAUCCCUGUCAUGGGGGAGCACCGACGCCCGGACCUGAACUUUGGUGAUGGAUCUGCGGUAGAGCAUGUAUGUUGGGACCCGAAAGAUGGUGAACUAUGCCUGAAUAGGGUGAAGCCAGAGGAAACUCUGGUGGAGGCUCGUAGCGAUUCUGACGUGCAAAUCGAUCGUCAAAUUUGGGUAUAGGGGCGAAAGACUAAUCGAACC
rnacentral:rRNA from 1 species